UACGGAGGGAGCUAGCGUUGUUCGGAAUUACUGGGCGUAAAGCGCGCGUAGGCGGCGACUCAAGUCAGAGGUGAAAGCCCGGGGCUCAACCCCCGGAACUGCCUUUGAAACUAGGUUGCUAGAAUCUUGGAGAGGUCAGUGGAAUUCCGAGUGUAGAGGUGAAAUUCGUAGAUAUUCGGAAGAACACCAGUGGCGAAGGCGACUGACUGGACAAGUAUUGACGCUGAGGUGCGAAAGCGUGGGGAGCGAACAGGG
rnacentral:rRNA from 1 species